rnacentral:rRNA from 1 species
UUAACCUGGCCUUGACAUACUAAGAACUUUCCAGAGAUGGAUUGGUGCCUUCGGGAACUUAGAUACAGGUGCUGCAUGGCUGUCGUCAGCUCGUGUCGUGAGAUGUUGGGUUAAGUCCCGCAACGAGCGCAACCCUUUUCCUUAUUUGCCAGCGGGUAAUGCCGGGAACUUUAAGGAUACUGCCAGUGACAAACUGGAGGAAGGCGGGGACGACGUCAAGUCAUCAUGGCCCUUACGGCCAGGGCUACACACGUGCUACAAUGGUCGGUACAAAGGGUUGCUACCUCGCGAGAGGAUGCUAAUCUCAAAAAGCCGAUCGUAGUCCGGACCGCAGUCUGCAACUCGACUGCGUGAAGUCGGAAUCGCUAGUAAUCGCGGAUCAGAAUGCCGCGGUGAAUACGUUCCCGGGCCUUGUACACACCGCCCGUCACACCAUGGGAGUUUGUUGCACCAGAAGUAGGUAGUCUAACCGCAAGGAGGACGCUUACCACGGUGUGGCCGAUGACUGGGGUGAAGUCGUAACAAGGUAAGCGUAGAUGA